CCUACGGGUGGCAGCAGUGAGGAAUAUUGGUCAAUGGGCGGAAGCCUGAACCAGCCAAGUCGCGUGAGGGAAUAAGGCCCUACGGGUCGUAAACCUCUUUUGCCGGGGAGCAAGUGCCGGGACGUGUCUCGGCCCGGAGAGUACCCGGAGAAAAAGCAGCGGCAAACUUCGUGCCAGCAGCCGCGGUAAUACGGGGGAUGCGAGCGUUAUCCGGAUUUGUUGGGUUUAAAGGGUGCGUAUGCGGGCGUUUAAGUCAGCGGUAAAAAUUCGGGGCUAAACCCCGUACGGUCGUUGAAACUGGGCACCUUGAGUGGGCGAGAAGAAGGCGGAAUGCGUGGUGUAGCGGUGAAAUGCAUAGAUAUCACGCAGAACCCCGAUUGCGAAGGCAGCCUUCCGGCGCCCUACUGACGCUGAGGCACGAAAGUGCGGGGAUCGAACAGGAUUAGAUACCCUUGUAGUC
rnacentral:rRNA from 1 species